AGAGUUUGAUCMUGGCUCAGGAUGAACGCUGGCGGCGUGCCUAAUACAUGCAAAGUCGAACGAGGUGCUUUUUGUAGCAAUACGAGAGGUAUCCUAGUGGCGAACGGGUGAGUAACGCGUUGGUGACCUGCCCCAAAGUGUGGGAUAACAGUCCGAAAGGAUUGCUAAUACCGCAUGUGGUCCCCGGAUUUAGAAACCGGUGACUAAAGCAGCAAUGCGCUUUGGGAGGGACCUGCGUCCCAUCAGCUAGUUGGUGAGGUAACGGCCCACCAAGGCUACGACGGGUAGGGGACCUGAGAGGGUGGCCCCCACAAUGGAACUGAAACACGGUCCAUACACCUACGGGUGGCAGCAGUAGGGAAUAUUGCACAAUGGGCGAAAGCCUGAUGCAGCAACGCCGCGUGCGCGAUGAAGGUCUUCGGAUCGUAAAGCGCUUUUUCUGGGGGAGAUGAGAAAGGACAGUAUCCCAGGAAUAAGUCUCGGCUAACUACGUGCCAGCCGCCGCGGUAAUA
rnacentral:rRNA from 1 species